UCUUAUACAGAUUUUUUGUUUGUUUUUUGCCGCAUUUGAUUUGCCUCCGUAACUGUAUUUUAUCACAAUUUCAUAUGAGCCAUACAUACACGCACACACAUGCACAUAUCAUCGUAGAAAUGCAUGUGUAUGGGUAAGUUUUUGUCUCAGUUUGUUACGUAUGAGAGAAGUCUCGGAUACGGAGAUACGGAUUUCGAUGAUGAUGCUGCUGCUGCUGCUCUGCCCUACAGAGAAACCAGUUCCUCGAUAUUCCCACCAAACAGCAAGCCGCACUCUACUCUUGUGACACUUUCGAGAGGAGAACUCCAAGUGGAGUUGGGUUUGGGCUUGGGUUGGGUCUGGCGGUCCGCGUAAGUGAUAAGUGGAAAUGUCAUACAAAAGAUAAUUGAGUUUCCCCGCGCUCAAAGCAUACAGAAAUUGAAAUUUUACAGAAAAGCUGUGCAUUGUAUUUUACAUGGAAUUCAAGCGAACGAUAAGUUUAUAAAUAAAAUGCAUAUUAUAUAAAUUGUUCGCAAGGCGGGGAGACGAAGUAAUACUUUAACUGUUUAAGAACUAUGUAUGUACAUACAUACAUGUAUGUAUGUACCAAUGAAGUAAAUGCAUUCAAUGGCUACUAAAUGGAUAAAUGGAUUCAUGCUUGCUUCCGUCAUCAGAUAUCACAUACAUACAUACAUGUGUGUGUGUGUGUGUGUGUUUGCACAUAAAUAAAUAAGAGAGGAAUGUUUUGCAAGGCACAAAGUUCAAUUGCACUUUUUAGCUAACAGAUUUUAACAAAAAUGUGCGUCAAUGGAAGGGAAAUGAUAGAACAGAACAGCUUUGGCCUACUAAGCGGGCCCUGUCCGGGGUCGGUGCAUCAAUCCAAUCUGCAUCUUCUGUUCGGUUCCACGCCCAAGUCGGAAUCGGAAUCGGAAUCGUAUCCGAAGCUGGAGCUGGAGCUGCCUUUGUGCGAAAACAUAACCGCAGCAGAAGCAAGUUUUUUUAUGGUGCUGAGUGCUGAUGUUGUAUAAUGAUGAACCCAGCAACAAAACCAGAAGCAUCAUCAAAAGUCCAAUAUCGGGAGGAGCUACAAAAGCAGCUUCUGGUCUGGCCGCAGUAUUUGAUGCCCUUGCAAAUCGAUCACUUCCAUGGAGGCGCUUGCUGAGUAUCUUCAGAUAGUCCAGUCCAAAAGCCUGACGUUGCCUCGACGCUUUUAAACUCGCUGUAUGCACAUAAGUACAUGUGCGUAUGUGUUCUAAGUGUAGAUAUCACCAUAUGCGAUGACGACUUUGACCCAACUAUACGAAACCAACGCAAACGCAAACACAAACGCCAACGCCAACGCCAAUGCCCUGAUUACACUCG
rnacentral:sRNA from 1 species